rnacentral:rRNA from 1 species
CUGGCUCAGGACGAACGCUGGCGGCGUGCCUAAUACAUGCAAGUCGAGCGAACAGAGAAGGAGCUUGCUCCUUCGAUGUUAGCGGCGGACGGGUGAGUAACACGUGGGCAACCUACCUUAUAGUUUGGGAUAACUCCGGGAAACCGGGGCUAAUACCGAAUAAUCUGUUUCACCUCAUGGUGAAACACUGAA